rnacentral:lncRNA from 1 species
AUUUUUGUUAUUCAGAAAAUGUAAUAUAACGUAGUUUGGGUGAGCUUUCCAUCUCGACAUUGUGGUGUGUUUGUCACCCGUUAAUUGGACACAAACACCUUCCGUUUCACCGCUUUUCUAAAAUAAACCACCCGGUAGGAAUAUUAUAUUUUGAUUAUUAGUUACACUAUUUAUCGCGUCUAAAAGUGUAGUGUAUACCAGUCUGGGAGCCGUUUUUCUUGUGGCGAUUUUUAAAAUGAAUUAUCUACGUAAAUAUUGAACCCACGGGGGGCGCCUCACCCCUGCCUUCCCCAUGGACAGUCCAGCAAUGUCUGCCUCCACUCCCCCUGUGUUUCCAGACCCAGAGAGUGAAGCAAAGCCAGAAUCAACCACCACACUAGAUAAAUAGCCAUUACUGUGAUGAUGAAAUGUUGUCAGCGAGCAGCAUAGAAGACGCAGAGAUAGUGGUGGACAGGUGGUGGAGACAGGAAGAGAAUGUGGCCUGGAGAUUAACAAACAGAACACCAAUAAUCUUGUGACCUCCAUACACCCUUCCUAAUGUCAAUAAAGUUGUCUUAUCAUACCUAAAA